AUCCACCAACCCGUUCUCAUCAGUCUGCGUAUAAAUAACACGACUUUACACUUUCUAUUUGCGUGUAAUGCAUACGCCAAAUGCCAUUUUUGCGUGCAUAUGAUACGCCAAUCCUUCCCAUUAAUUUCGGUGGAGAGCAGAUGCGUCCAAAUAACACGCAUCAUCUUCAGCGGCAGUGACGUCACCAGCGAGGCUCGUUCAGUUCACCUGAUGCGCGUACACCUUCAAACAGGUAAGCAAGGUUACGUCGGAUUACAUACUCCACAACAACCUGUAAUCCAUCAGAUCUUUAAAGAAGCCAUCUCUUGUAAAAUCUCUCUCUCGCUCUGCUAGAAUUAACAGGGAACUUCAACUCCACGCUCCCAAUGCUGAUAUUGAAGAAGCUGUCAAGGGGGCUGAACAAGUCCUUCAAAGGAUCAACCCUUCACAGGAAGGCCUGUCAUGAGAUUUGAAUUUGACCAUCUUGUGCAUUUAUGAAGAAGACCAAAAGCUGCAAAGGCAAACACUUCCAAUGGAUUUCUCACAGAUUACUUAAUCAUUCUUCAUCAGCUCUUCACAAUAUCAGCCCAUUCAAAAGCUUCCAGAUCUUCCUCUCUUGUGUGACACAUCUGCUCUCAGUCCUUUACUGCCAACCUCCAGUCUUAGCAUUUCUGCUUGUAUUCAUUUUUCCUCUACAUUCAUCACUCCAAUCUCUACUAUAAGCACUCCUGUAUAUAUAUAUAUAUAUAUAUAUAUA